GCAGAGCAAAUUAGAGAUUCUUGGAACUUGGAUUUAUCUGGCAACGAGGGUACAGGGAUGUACCCGAGAGGCAUAACCGCACCAGGACGGUGCGUUUAUGCCGGUACCGGGAAGUGGUUUUAUCUAUAACUCCAAGUUCCUAGAAUCUCUUAU
rnacentral:ncRNA from 1 species